CCCUCCGCUACUACUACCACUACUACUACCCUUCUUUUCCACCCCCCGGGGGCCCCUGCCUGCUCGGUUGGCCUCGGAGCCGCUGUUGGGCAAUGCCGUUCGUGCGCUACCGAAAGGUCGUGAUCCUGGGAUACCGCUCGGUCGGUAAGACAUCUCUUGCUCACCAGUUCAUUGAUGGGGAAUUUCUGGAAUGCUAUGACCCCACUGUGGAAAGCACUUACAACAAAAUGUUGAUGGUGGGAAAAGAUGAAUUCCACUUGCAGCUUGUGGACACUGCGGGACAGGAUGAAUACACUAUCUUGCCUCACUCGUUUAUCAUUGGCAUCCAUGGCUACGUGCUGGUCUAUUCUGUCACUUCUCUCAAAAGUUUUCAGGUGGUGAAGACCCUGCACAGCAAGUUACACGAAAGCAGAGGGAAGACAAGGAUGCCUGUAGUGCUUGUUGGCAAUAAAGCUGAUCUGUCAUUAGAAAGUCGUCAGGUAAAGACGGAUGAAGGCCGGAAACUUGCUGAUUCAUGGGGUGCUGUGUUCUUGGAAUCCUCAGCAAAAGAAAACCAGAUGACUCAAGGUAUCUUCACAAAGGUCAUCGAAGAAAUUGAUCGUGUGGACAAUUCCUAUGGUGAACAGCGCAAUUGCACCAUAAUGUGAUGCUGUUUCCCCCAUCUGAUGCUGCUCGGGCAGUGGGCGGGUGGGGGUAAAGCACAGAUCCAGGCCAAUUCAGGGCAGGUGUUGUGGCUACCUAGAGCCCUGAUCAGCAGGCCUGAACCAACUUACGGGUAACUCACACACACAGAUACAAUUAUACCUCAUCACUGGUCCUCCAUGGGAGGCGGCCAUGUUUUGCACAUUAGUUUGCUGGAAGCAAUCCAUGUAUGUAUUUCCUGUACAUAUAUGUGUGUAUGUGUGUGUGUGUGUAACGUAUUGCCAAAUGUUUACAGAAAUGGGAGCCACAAUAGGAUCUAGUUAUGAUUUGUUAUAUAGGGACUUGUCUGUGUAUUUAUAACAAAAUUUACAAUCAGCUCACCUGUUUACAAAAGGAACUGUUCACAACUCAAUGUAACAGAGAGGCAGCUGAAUGUAACGUUUUCCGAGUGGGACCCGCUAAAGACCAGUACUUUUGUUUUGAUAGUUUUGUUUUAGUGAGAGCUGAGCCUUGGACCCAGAUGUGUACGUCAGUUUUCAGUUGUAGCUCUUGCAACACGUGGCCUUAUUUUUUUUAUCAGGGUGAAAUUUCAUGCCGCAGCCUGGAUCCAAAGUUGGGUUUCUCUUUGCUAGAAAUCAAUGUGGCUGAGGUCUUAGCGGUGCUUAGUUAACUUUUCUUUGGUUAUAUGUAAAUAAAUAUAAACUUCUUUAAGAACGAUAUUUUUUGUGGAGGAGGAGAGAACCUUUCAUUACAUUUCAGUGCGUUAAACACUGUCCUAAUUGCAUCGAGCCUCUUUGUAUAGCAGCUAUCUCGUUUGGCUUAAUAGUAAAUAUAUAUAUAUAUAAAAGCAAUACAAAAUGGAUGCGCCCAAGCUUAACAAAUGCUUCUAUGUCUUGCCUGUAAUUGCGGCCUCUUUUUGGAGGCUUUUUGAAAUGCUGCAAAGGAGUUUGUAAGGCGGUAGCUGUAAAAGGGACUGUAAAAGUUGCAGCAGCGUUUCUCAAAACUUGGCAAUAUUUAAGACGGGGAAUUUUGAAGUUGAAAAAAAACACAUCUUUAAAAUUGCCAAGUUGGAGAAAUGCUGAGUUACAGGAUAGAAUUAUAUAUUUCAUUGUUCUUCGGUGGGGAAAAACUGGAAAGGGAGGCAGCUUUCAUGAAUAUUUCUCUGUAAAAUCCUUUGAAACGCUGCACCAUCAUGCUGAGUGUGCAGAAGCAAAGCUAAGAGGGAGCAAUUUGAGCUGAAACUUACAGUUUUCUACUUCCCUUGUGUGAAGCUGCCUUUUGCCUUGAAUUAGGCAUGUUAGCUUAAUAUUGUGACAUACAUACGCAGGUGUGUGUGUUUGUGUAGAUAGAUAUAUAAGAAUGAAAAAAUGAAGCUUUUUAAGUGGUUUCUUGUUGGAGACCCCUGGUCUAGGAAAUGGCCAGUCUCUCUGUUAAUCGCAUGCUUAGUCUGAGCCUAAACAGCAUCCCUGUGAUUUUCCUUUGGUGUCUUUGGUUGACUCGGUCGGGCAUAUUCAAGCACUGCAUUGAAUGCUGGGAAUGGGAUUCCAGACUAAAACUGAGCUUUGAACACUGAAGAGAAUGAGGGUGCCUAAGCUUCAUGGGCUGCAGGGUGGUGAGCCUUUGGAAACAAGCUCUCCAGUGAAGCACAAUAAACUUUAAUCUAGAAAAAGUGGGGAGAGAAUUGCUUUGAUGUUGCAGAACAUUAUGUGCAUCUUAGCAGCCAUAGUCUGAUCAAAAGCACAUCCUUUAUUUUCAUAGUUCUUCCUGCCAAAAGCUGGCACUCUGUGCUGAGGGGACUUGAACCUUGGGCCAUCCUCAUCUUUUUCUGCAGUCCCUACAAAGCUAUUUUCCAGAUGAAUUUUUUUUAAAAAAUUUUUUGUUGUUGUGCCAGUGCAUAGGUUUGUUUCGGUAAUGCUGUUUUUAGGAAAAGCUUCCGUCUUGUAAAGAUGUUCCCAGAAUGCUUUUUGCAUGGCCACUAGGAAUGCUUUUAUGUAUUCAGAAUGAAAUUGGAUGCAUGGAAUGGAUGGAUAUGAGAUUAUUGUUGAAAAUCCCGGUUUGGGAGGAAUAGUCUCCUUGUACAUUAUCUUCUGUUGUAAAAAUUGCUUUUUUUGAUUGAGUGCUUUGAGCCAAUAGAUUUAUUGCUCUCAGAAUGAAUCCACCUGAUCCCUGUACUUGGUGGGUGGCCAUUUCAUAAGGAAUUUCUUUUGCAUUUUAGUGGGACUUCCAGGAAUUACUAUUUCUGUGUGUUGUUGCUCCAUUUCUACAGUGCUGACUAUUUUCCCCAGGUCUUGUUUUUUAUUCUAAAAACCUUAACUUCAGAUUUGUCCCCUUCCCCUGUUAGGAAUCAAUGUGAUUAUUAUUGCUAGCCCUAGAGGGAAAUGUAUGCAACUUUGUCCACACCUUUGUCGUCUCCUGAUUCUUUUUUGACAGACUACAGCCAGGGCUGAAAUAUCUCACCUAACUGAUUAUCUGGAUCCUGCAGCAUUUCCCCCAUUAAACCAGAUGGUGAUGUAGUAUCUCAACAAACCCCUUUAUUAUUGUAUUAUACAUAUUAUUGGAUAGAAAAGUAGCAAUCUGGCUAUCAGUUUAAGUAGGAAGAGAGUCGUGGAUUUCAAUGCCAAAAUAUCUCAAAUCACAUUGCAAUAAACUAAAAUAAAUUGGCAAAUUCUCUUCAUGGAAUGGAUAGAAGGCACUUCUUGGCCAGAUUUAGGAUUUCUAAUUAAAAGUGAACUCUCCAAACGAGGCUUCGUUUUCCAGGAGCUGAGUUUUGAGCUUAUUUUUCCUUGUACCCAUGAAGCCUUGCUUUCAAAUUGUGGGUCAGUUAAGGAGAAGGAUGGGAGGUAAGCAAUAAGCAGGGUGGGAGGGAAAAAAAACCAGGCAUUAGCAAAUCCAGGUUCUGCCAUUCAGAAUGUUGGCCGGCUUUUCCAUCUCUCAAGGAUUUGGAUGCUGAGGGCUUCUUUCCAGCAAUAUCACCCGCUUGGAAAGUCUGGUUCAGGGCCCAGAGGAGAUGUUUAAAAUAGUGCAGGCUGCCUCUAUAAGCUCACUUAGUUGUGGAGUGCUUCCAUUGCCCAUUUGAAGAGGUUACAACUCUGUUACACAAGUUACAUGGUAGCUUGCACUCUUUGGAGGAAGCCCUGAAUGCGAUGAACUUCAGCUUCUUUAUCUGCCCUAGAAACUAAUGUUACAAAGCUCUCAUGCUUUUGAAUGCCAGUUCCCUUGGGGCUGUUUUAAUUAUGAAAAUGUAGAGUAUGUUUCCUGUGAAAUAACUGUUAAUGCUAGCUGUGAAUUACAGUGUUAUCAGCAAACCUGAAACUUACACAGUUGGGAAAGGCUCUUUCACAUGGGUAUCUAUACCUCUCUCACUGCCAUGCCCUGUAUACUCGUGAUUAGCAGGAGUGCAUCGUCCAAGAUUGAAUUUGAUAAAUCCAUGUGUUCCAUUUCGAAUCUAGUCUGUUUUGCGUCAGUGAAAGGCAAGCUUGUAGGUGUUCUUACGACUGGUAAGAUAUAGACAUUGGCUCUUCGAAUGGCUGCCAUACAAGCCUGCUCAAUUCCCUGGCCCAGUUGGUGUUACUGUAGGAUGUGGUCUAGCAUCUCUUUCUGUAAAGGUGGAACUUUAUUUUUGUUUUGCAAAUCAGUAUGAGGCUUAGGAUGCAUUGUAAGAAGCAUUCUGGAAAUAAAGAUGAUGCCAGAGCUUGUGUCUUGCUUUACACCGUGUCAGCUUUCCAUUUUUUCUUCUCCCGCUUUCAGUGUAAAUACUCUAUUAAACCAAAUCAAGAUUUUAAAUGAGAUUUCUGUAUUGAAAUCAAGAAUAUGAUUUGGGUAGGGGAUUGGUGGGAUGGCAUUAGACAAUAGAACAAGGACCGGGAGGGAGUUUCCAUACUUUGCUUUGUUUCUGUAAUUAAACUCUUGUUUUCCCUAAUGGCUUCAGCCUCCUAAUUAAGGCUGCCUGUAUCUUCUGAUUUAUGUAUAUAAAAGGAGGAGGAAAGACUUUCAAAAUGGUUUAAGGUUGCAAGGAUUAAAUUUGCACAUUAUACAUGUACAUGUAGCCAUGUUUUAACAAGACACACCAUAAUGGCUUAUGGGUUUAACAAGCCCCACAAUUUAACAAGAGGCACACUAUGGGUUAGCACAAUAUGGGGGCCAGGUCAUUGACACUACCUGAAUUUGUUGGAGAUUGCAAAGGAGGUUUCCUUUACCAUCGUGAGAACUGGAAGAAGCAACUUGAGCUUGAUGAUUUCUAUGAGUUCCAGCUAAAUGUCUUAUUUUGAUAUCUCACUGUUAAUGUGAGCAUGGCCUAGAGGUAUCCAGACUUGGCAACUUUAAGACCUAUGGAUUUCAACUCCCAGAAUUCCUUAGCCAACCAUGCUGGGAGUUGAAGUCCACAGGUCUUAAAAUUGCCAAGAUUGGAUACCGCUGACCUAUAUGAUCAAUGGCUUCCUGCCUAUUUUAGCCAUAGCACACCAGGCCUGUGUCUAGUGCAAAACACAAAUACAAAUGCACCUCUACUUUUUACCAGCUGUGUUGGGAACUUGGCAAUGAUCUGUCUUGCUGAGUGCCCAAAAUUGAAGUAGCUUUGGGUUCCAGACAUCUUUGGUACUUGCUAUGCUUUUUCCUGUUGCCAAGGAUAAAACUAAUUUGGUGCUUUAUUAGCAUUAUUAGCAACACGGGGGCAGUAUUGAGCCAUUGCCAUCCUGAUUUUGACUUGCUUUGAGGUAGCAUCAGCAGUCUUAAAGAAUUCCCUGGGAACCAGCCUGAAUCGCACUUGAUUUGCUUCCUUGUCUUUCCCAUAUCUGACCCUAAGAGCUAUGGGAGAGUUGAUUACAGCCAUCCAUUUCAGGGAUGGUGAGCUCCCCCUCUUUCCCUGACACCUUCCUUAUGCAUUAGGCUGUGCUUGCUGCACUCUGUACUAAGUCGGGAUAGCUUGUGCUCUCUCCCAUAAAUCAGGACACCAAUGCUGACAGCUAUUCUUCUGGGUCAAGAGGGGGCAAUUGGUAACCCUCCCGAUGGCUGAAUUAUAAUUACCAGCAUUCCUCUCCAUUGGCCCUGCUGGGAGUUGUACUUUAGCAUCUAGAGCAGUGGUUCCCAACCUUUUCUUGUUUGAGGCACAACCUUUUCUUGUUUGAGGCACCCUUGGAAAGCCUUUCAAAAGUUCC